rnacentral:rRNA from 1 species
GACGAACGCUGGCGGCGUGCUUAACACAUGCAAGUCGAACGGAAAGGCCUGCUUUCCCUUGUGGAUUGCGGGUACUCGAGUGGCGAACGGGUGAGUAACACGUGAGUGAUCUGCCCCCAACUUGGGUAUAAGCCUGGGAAACUGGGUCUAAUUCCCGAUAGGACUGCAGGGUGGUGCCUGUGGUGGAAAACGAUUUUCUAGUGGUUGGGGAUGAGCUCGCGGCCUACCAGCUUGUUGGUGGGGUAAUGGCCUACCAAGGCGGCGACGGGUAGCCGGCCUGGGAGGGUGGACGGCCACAUUGGGACUGAGAUACGGCCCAGACUCCUACGGGAGGCAGCAGUGGGGAAUAUUGUACAAUGGGCGGAAGCCUGAUGCAGCGACGCCGCGUGGGGGAUGACGGCCUUCGGGUUGUAAACUCCUUUCGACCGCGAGGAAGCCACCUGGUUGGAAGGGUGGUGACGGUAGUGGUAGAAGAAGCACCGGCUAACUACGUG